GGGGGCGUACUGGCUUCGACGUGGAUAUGAAACCUGAGGGGCAUGCCGAGGUGCAGAUUCCCUCGUAAAUACUUCUGCAAAACUUUUAGUUGCCAACGAAGACAACUACGCACUAGCAGCUUAAUAACCUGUCAUAGUGCCGUCUGCCUACUGGUGUGCUUGUGCACGGUAGAAACAGGCGUCGACUUUUACAAGACCGCGAUGAAACUCGUUCGAGGUGGAUUCGUUAAAACUUAAUCGAAAUCGCUCAUUGUCUUCCCUGCCGGUCGGGUAGCAUAGAGUCAAAUUAAAGAUUCGGCUAAGCAUGUAGAUCCAAUGGCAGAGGAUUUGCGGACGCGGGUUCGAUUCCCGCCGCCUCCACCA
rnacentral:tmRNA from 2 species